rnacentral:sRNA from 1 species
AAGGAAAUCAAUGGAUUGAGAUCAAUUCUUGACUAUUUAUUUCUAUGAGCUUGUCCAUAUGAAUGAAUAUGAUCGCAAGGGAGGAAGUUUUACUAGAGACGAUUGAUAAGAGUAAAGAACACAAAAAUGUUUAGGAAAAAUUAUAAUAAAAUCUCAUAGAAUUAAUAUUACAAGAUAAAUCGAUAUAUAUAUAUAUAU